rnacentral:rRNA from 1 species
GACGAACGCUGGCGGCGUGCUUAACACAUGCAAGUCGAACGGAAAGGCCCUGCUUUUGUUUGGUUCUCGAGUGGCGAACGGGUGAGUAACACGUGAGUAACCUGCCCUUGACUUUGGGAUAACUCCAGGAAACUGGGGCUAAUACCGGAUAGGAGCUCCUGCUGCAUGGUGUGGGUUGGAAAGUUUCGGCGGUUGGGGAUGGACUCGCUGCUUAUCAGCUUGUUGGUGGGGUAGUUGCUUACCAAGGGUUUGACGGGUAGCCGGCAUGAGAGGGUGACCGGGGACAUUGGGACUGAGAUACGGAGCAGAAGGGUACGGGAGGCAGCAGUGGGGAAUAUUGCACAACGGGCGGAAGCCUGAUGCAGCAACGCCGCGUGCGGGAUGACGGCCUUCGGGUUGUAAACCGAUUUCGCCUGUGACGAAGCGUGAGUGACGGUAAUGGGUAAAGAAGCACCGGCUAACUACGUG